rnacentral:rRNA from 1 species
AGAGGUUACUGCUAUCGGAGUUCGAGUAAGCCAUGCGAGUCUAAAGGUUUCUUCGGAAACCUUGGCGGACUGCUCAGUAACACGUGGAUAACCUACCCUUAGGACUGGAAUAACCCCGGGAAACUGGGGAUAAUACCGGAUAGAUCAGGGAUGCUGGAAUGCACCUUGAUCCAAAGCUCCGGCGCCUAAGGAUGGGUCUGCGGCCUAUCAGGUUGUAGUGGGUGUAACGUACCUACUAGCCGACAACGGGUACGGGUUGUGAGAGCAAGAGCCCGGAGAUGGAUUCUGAGACACGAAUCCAGGCCCUACGGGGUGCAGCAGGCGCGGAACCUUUACAAUGUGCGAAAGCAUGAUAAGGGGACUCCGAGUGCCAGCAUCUAAUGCUGGCUGUCCUUGUGCCUAAAAAGCACAAGAUAGCAAGGGCCGGGUAAGACCGGUGCCAGCCGCCGCGGUAACACCGGCGGCCCGAGUGGUAGCCGCUAUUAUUGGGUCUAAAGGGUCCGUAGCCGGUUCGGUAAGUCCUUUGGGAAAUCUGGUUGCUUAACAAUCAGACUGCCAAGGGAUACUGCUGAACUUGAGACCGGGAGAGGUAAGAGGUACUUCAGGGGUAGGAGUGAAAUCUUGUGAUCCCUGGGGGACCAUCUGUGGCGAAGGCGUCUUACCAGAACGGGUCUGACGGUGAGGGACGAAAGCUGGGGGCGCAAACCGGAUUAGAUACCCGGGUAGUCCCAGCCGUAAACGAUGCUCGCUAUGUGUCAGGUACGGUGCGACCGUAUCUGGUGCCGUAGGGAAGCCGUGAAGCGAGCCACCUGGGAAGUACGGUCGCAAGACUGAAACUUAAAGGAAUUGGCGGGGGAGCACUACAACGGGUGGAGCCUGCGGUUU